UGAGAAUACGUGUUGUACACAUCUGCAAGAUCUAUCUGCAACUUGAUAAGGCUACAGACAAUAUGAGCAUGAUGGCAUGCUGGCACUCUCAGGCCCUGAUCAUGGUCAUCAUACUAGAUGUGAUCAGUUCAUGUCCUGCAAAGGAUUGGGCAAACCUCCGCCAUCAGCACAUCUGUGCUUUGACUGGAUCAUCAGUGUUUGUGCUCUGCUCUCUCUCUCCCCCUGCUGUUCAAACUAUUUCUGAAGUCUUCUGGCUGAUUAAUGCAAAAAAGG